AUUGAACGCUGGCGGAAUGCUUUACACAUGCAAGUCGAACGGUAGAGGGGGCAACCCCUCGAGAGUGGCGAACGGGUGAGUAAUAUAUCGGAACGUGCCCAGUCGUGGGGGAUAACGUAGCGAAAGUUACGCUAAUACCGCAUACGAUCUAAGGAUGAAAGUGGGGGCUCGCAAGACCUCAUGCUCCUGGAGCGGCCGAUAUCUGAUUAGCUAGUUGGUGGGGUAAAGGCCCACCAAGGCAUCGAUUAGUAGCUGGUCUGAGAGGACGACCAGCCACACUGGAACUGAGACACGGUCCAGACUCCUACGGGAGGCAGCAGUGGGGAAUUUUGGACAAUGGGGGCAACCCUGAUCCAGCAAUGCCGCGUGAGUGAAGAAGGCCUUCGGGUUGUAAAGCUCUUUUGUCAGGGAAGAAAAGGCUGCAGCUAAUAUCUGCGGCUCAUGACGGUACCUGAAGAAUAAGCACCGGCUAACUACGUGCCAGCCGCCGCCGUAA
rnacentral:rRNA from 1 species